AUCUCUACUAAGCUCUUCUAACAGAUUAUAAGCUAUUUCUCAAAAGAAGAGUAAUUAUCCAAAGAGGAUGGCAGGGCUUUGUCCCCAAAUCCUAAGGUCCUCUAUUGAAAAUCGCCUAUAAGAACUUGCCAAAGUUCCAAAUGGCAACCCUAUCUACCACUGCCACUUCAAGCACCAUUGGAACUACUGGAUCAUGUGGACUGAGUGGCAGAGCAGCUCGUACAGCAGCCUGAACCUGUUGCAGAGCCUUCUGUUGUUCUGGGUCUUACUGAAAACUAGUAGCUUUUUGGGUCGUUCAGUAAAUGGACUGGAGUAACACAUCUAAAUGAGGACUACUUUGCCUCCAAAAGUCAAAGAGGAUCACCAGGCAUCACAUCUCUUUCAUGGUUGUAGGACAGGUCAGAUACAACAAGUUUUCCAAGUUAGAAGGGACAUCUUAUUGUGCCCCACACCACCAGGCCCUAGAAAUUUCACUGAGGUAAAAGGCUUCUGAAAUUCGUCUGAUCCAUUUCCCACCCUCUGACACACUAAUGUCUUACCAGUUUCACCGUAUUUCGUACCCUGGUGGUCCUGGUCAGAUUCCUGAUGUGACCUCUGGGCUCAUGUCUGCUGCCUGUGUUCCUGCCUCCUCGGCCUGAGGUCCUGAACGGCUCCCCUGGAGGGAGUCCUCAGCCCAGAUCACAAGUCCUGACCCAGAGAAGCGAUUUUUGGAUUCAGAGAACCCAAGCAGAGUCAUGAAAGUCCUGUGGAUGCUGCUGGUCAACAAAUGGUUGUGGAAUUGAGCUGCAGUGACUGGAAGUCCCGAUAAGGCCAGAAUCAUAGGGGAGAGUGAGGCUCCCCUGCUGGCACAUACACGCAUGUACGUGCUGGACCCAGUAUCAGGGAUUUCCAGAGGGCCCCCCCCUCAACGUUCGACGAUUUACCAGGACUCCUGGGACUCAGCAUAUAGAGCAUAUAGUUUGACUCACAGCUGUCAUCUAAAGUCUACAAAGCUAAACCAGUAAAGGGAAAAAGUCUGGAGGAAAGUUCCAAGAGUCCUCCCCCAUUGGACUCCCAUGGCAUAACUCGAUUCCUCCAGCAGGGAGUUAUGAGUUGUAACAUGUGUCCUGUUACCAACCAUGGAAGCUAGUUUGAGUCUAUGCGUCCAAGGUUUUCAUCAGAGGUUGGUCCUGUCGGCACCUUCUGCCCACCCCGUACUGAGAUUCCAGACUCCCAGAAGGAAAGCAGGUGCUCAGCGUAACCACAUUGUCUGUCCCAACAGUUUAGGCAGCGUGAGCCGCUACCCUCAGCACAAUAGCAGGAGCUCUGGCCAAAUCCAAGUUCCCGGACCGCAGAUGGGAAUUGACCUGCUAAGAGCAUGUCUAAGGGCAGCAGCCAGGCCUGCUGUGUCCGCUCUUCUCUGCUCAUCUGUCAAUCACAUUUGAGUCUACAGUAUCUCGCACAUUCAUUCACGUGUCCACCUAUUUUCAUAUGAUCUCCUCCACUGUGUUGGGUGUGGGAGACAAAAAUGUGAACGAACAAACAAACUCUUUUUAUCAAAGAGGUCACUGUCCCUUACAGGAGAUUGACAAAGAAAGGAACAAAUAUAAUACCACAUGGUCAGUGCCGACACGAUUAACGCAUCUGAGAAUGCCUGACUGGAUGUAUACUGCAAGUCGGAACCUAAUUACUGCUGCUUAUCAAAUUUACAGUAUAAAGUGUGCACAUAAAAUUUGACAGUUUGACAAAUGUCUAGGAAAUUAAUUUACACCUUUAUGUGUUUUUUGAUGUGCACAGAGGAAGAAGAAUGCUCUCUGAAAGUUCACAAGCCCUAAGGAGUUGGAAAGCAAGGCAUUGUGGGAUUUCCUUCUACAGGGUCUAACUUUGGGACUAAGAGUUGGCUUUCUGUAAAGUUACUUUUUAAUGAGACUUAACACAGGAAAUGAUCUACAUCAGAUAAAUCCCAACUGACAGACUACAAAAUACCUGACCAGUACUCCUUAAAAAAUGUUAAUAUCAUCAAAAUCAAAGCAAGUCUGAGAAACUAUCACAAUGUAGAGGAGACCUAAUGACUAAGUGUAAUGUGGUAUCCUAAAUGGAGUACUGAGACAGAAAAGGGACUUUACAAGGAAACAUGAGGAAAUCUAAAUAAAGUCUAUCAAUUUUAAUUAAUAGUAAUGUAGCAAUAUUGGAUCACUGAUUGUGACAAAUGUAUCACACUAAUGUAGGAUGUUAAUAAUGAGGUGACUGGAUGUGGAGUAUAUGGGAAUGCUCU